GGUCCUGCGGCAAAAUAGCUCGAUGCCAGAAU
rnacentral:rRNA from 1 species